AAGUCGUAACAAGGUUUCCGUAGGUGAACCUGCGGAAGGAUCAUUAUUGAAUGAACUUGGCGUGAUUGUAGCUGGUCCUCUUGGGGGCAUGUGCACAUCCGUCAUCUUUAUCUCUCCACCUGUGCACACUUUGUAGGUCUGGAAUAACUUUCCGAGGCAACUCGGUCGUGGGGAACUGCUCUCAAGCUUUCCUUACAUUUUCCAGGUCUAUGUUUUCAUAUACACCAUAAGAAUGUAAUAGAAUGUUUUUAUUGGGCCUUGUUGCCUAUAAACUAUAUACAACUUUCAGCAACGGAUCUCUUGGCUCUC
rnacentral:misc_RNA from 1 species